rnacentral:rRNA from 1 species
UACGGAGGGUGCGAGCGUUGUUCGGAAUCACUGGGCGUAAAGCGCGUGUAGGCGGCCCACUAAGUCUGAUGUGAAAGCCCGGGGCUCACCCCCGGAAGUGCAUUGGAAACUGGUGGACUAGAGUCCCGGAGAGGAGAGUGGAAUUCCUGGUGUAGCGGUGAAAUGCGUAGAUAUCAGGAGGAACACCGGUGGCGAAGGCGGCUCUCUGGACGGUGACUGACGCUGAGACGCGAAAGCGUGGGGAGCAAACAGG